CCAUGCUACUCUGAGCACACAUCUGAUUUUGGAAGCUAAGCAGUCCUAGGCCUUAUUGCUACUUGAAUGGGAGACCACCAGGGAUCUCCAGGCAG
rnacentral:rRNA from 1 species